UGACAGGGAUUUCUUUCCUGAGUAGAGUUAGCAAAAGGCAAAACUCUAGACGCCCAACUGACCUCAUUAAAUUUCAAAGGAUCAUUUAGACGCUUCAAGGCAGGACCCUGUUCCUGCCCAACAGUGCCUCGCUAUUGUCUAGCACAGGCAGAUUUGCAAAGGAAGCAGGGGCAAGGCUGGGACUAGAUGGCGAUUGGGAGAAUCAACCCAGCAAACGUCAUUAGCCUGCUCAGCCACCUUGGCAGCGGCAGUGGCACUGAUUUCAGUCAAGAUGUCAGGGUGCAUUGCUGUGACUGUUGCAUUAGCUUGGGCAGAAUGAUUAGUUAGAUGCAAACUUAAUGAGAACACAGCAAAACCUUCCUUACCAAGCUACAGAGGUUAGUCACUGCAGGUCGGUUUACUUUAGGGUAAGUAAUCCGUUUGAACUCAUGACUAGCCACUUUAAACUAAAGGAAGGCUAUUUCUCAAAAGUUUGGUGGAUUUUCACUGUAAUUAUUGUUUACAAAAUAAAUUUUCACUCAGGCAUCAGAAAGAGUGCCUCUUAGACACCAAUUUCUGUUGCUCAUUUUCAAACACGGCACUAAGCCCAUGAUGCAAUUAUCUUUCCCAAAUGAAUCCUGCCUAUCAUUUCACUGUGAAGUUUUUAAAUGAUUUAUCUGGUUAGAUCAUAAUACAUUGAAUAACACUAUAGUUUUUAGUUCCUACAGCUUACCAUAAAUCACAAGUCAUUUUUCACUCACAGCUUCCAGUUUCUGAGACAGUGUAGAAAGAAAAAUCAUAUUUUACAAUCAGUAGAAGUUAAGGCUGGAGGAAAUGAAGAGUUUUAUCCAAGUUCACCACCAUCAGGAGCACUGAUUUUUCAGUCUGGCACACUUAGGCCUGGACCACACUUGCCUUUCACAAGCAGGAGAGCCUUCUGUUCAAACGAGUGUUUCUGAAGGUAUUCUAGAAACAAAAUCAGCAGCCAGUGUUGUGGAUGAGAAGCCACUCAAGUCCAGCAGAAGGAACAAUACAAUAAUCAUAUUUGUCAGCAGAAACCGCCCACCAUUGUAUAUCUGCAUUAAAGCAGUGAAGAUAGGAAGAUAAUGGUGACUUUGACUUGGAAUGAUCAUUUUGGCUACAAAAGGAACAAAAAUUGAUGCAGCUGAUUUGGGUUUGGCUACACAUAAUCCAAUUUGGACUGUAAGGCUUCCAGAGGUGGGACUGAGACACCAACCAAGCCAGAAAUCCUUCAACCUACAACCUACCCUGCCUGCAAAACGUGGUGGGCAAUGAUGACUCUGAGCUGAUGGUAGUGGCUAACUGAUGACUAGUCAAACCUGAGGUCCACUCCACAAGAGGGAGCCCAGGCCUGACAAGGCCUCUCUUACCAGGAACAGGAAGCUGGUUGGCCUAGAGACCUAGGCUAGAACCGAACAGGACGGGCAAAAACAAGACAACAACAACAACAGAAACAAACCAACCAGCAAGCAAACA